CUACGGGCGGCAGCAGUGGGGAAUAUUGCGCAAUGGGGGAAACCCUGACGCAGCAACGCCGUGUGAGGGAUGAAGGCUUUCGGGUCGUAAACCUCUGUCAGGCAGGACGAAACAUCUAAACAUGAAUAAUGUUUAGAUCUGACGGUACUGCCAGAGGAAGUCCCGGCUAACUCCGUGCCAGCAGCCACGGUAAUACGGAGGGGGCAAGCGUUGUCCGGAAUUAUUGGGCGUAAAGCGCGCGUAGGCGGUUUGUUAAGUCAGAUGUGAAAGUCCAUGGCUCAACUAUGGAAGUGCAUUUGAAACUGGCAGACUUGAGUACUGGAGGGGGUGAUGGAAUUCCCGGUGUAGAGGUGAAAUUCGUAGAUAUCGGGAGGAAUACCGGUGGCGAAGGCGAUCACCUGGCCAGAUACUGACGCUGAGGUGCGAAAGCGUGGGGAGCAAACAGGAUUAGAUACCCGAGUAGUC
rnacentral:rRNA from 1 species